AGCCCCCCCACACUUCUACUGUCCUGAAACACGGCUCUAGCCAAUCUGCUCCGCUGCUUUACCUGCGACCGUCUCUGUGGGGGCUGCACCGCACCAGCCCCUCCAGCCCGCCAGGGCAUCGUCCUCCAACCGGUCAUGCCCAGCUGUGACCCUGGCCCGGCCCCUGCAUGUUUACCCACCAAGACUUUCCGCAGCUACCUGCCCCGCUGCCACCGCACAUACAGUUGCGUCCACUGUCGAGCACACUUGGCCAAACAUGAUGAGCUUAUUUCCAAGUCUUUCCAAGGAAGCCAUGGCCGGGCCUACCUGUUUAACUCCGUGUGAGUCCACCUCUUUCUUUGUGUGUGUGUGUGUGUGUGUGUGUGUGUGUGUGUGUGUGUGUGUGUGUGUACACUUUUAUUUCAACAGCUUUCCUCUUUGCAAAAUGGGGGUGAGCCUUCAAAAGGACCAGGCACUCCUGGUUCCUCUAUAAAGUGGUUAAGGAAAGCAGUUUAGUUUUGUGGGGUGAAAGAAGGCUCAAGCACUAAUUCUAAAGGGGUGGACUGCUGAAGGAAGGUUCCUCAGGUAGAGAUCCUUUUGGGU
rnacentral:lncRNA from 1 species